UUUUCUCUCUCUCAUACACACUAAUAAAUGUGCCUCACUCUCAGCUUGCUAUAUAUAAGAAGGUAUGUGAGGGUUAGGGUUUUCAUCCAAAGGGUGAGAGUGAGUUCAAGAUAUAGCUAGAGAGUAUUAUUUGAGGGGAAUGUUGGCUGGCUCGAGGCUUUUGAGUUUCACAAAAGAAGUUCAUUCUUAAUUGUAUGAACUAUAAGGCUUCGGACCAGGCUUCAUUCCCCUCAAAAUCUUAAUUGUUUAUUCUCUUGUUCAUCUUGUGUGUGUGUGUGUGUUUUUCCCUAUAGUAUACAUGAAAUCAUCCAUAAAAGAGAAGCAAGAGUUAGGAUGAGAGGAACGUUGUCUGGCUCGAGGUGAUAGAGAUGAUGGAAGAGUAGUUAACUCAUUCAUCACUAACUCCCAAUCUCGGACCAGGCUUCAUUCCCCUCAACCAACUUUUGCAAGCUAUAUACUUUCCUUCAUUUUCAUAAUUUCAUAUCAUCAUCUUCUGUUGGUAAGCUUUUGUACUGAUGAUGAUCAAGUAUUGAUUGAAGGUAGUAAGUAGCAGGUGAGAUGUGUUGGAUUGGAUCAAUUAACAAGAAAAAGUAGUGAUGAGAAUCAGGAGAAGCUAUUUCUUAGCUAUAGCUAGGUAUCUGUGUUCUGUGAUCACCAUCAUCAUCAUCAUCAUCUUGUUAGUAAUUUCCAAGAUAUGAGUAGAGUAUGAAUAUGACCAGCUUCUAUUGUGAUGCAAUGACUAGUUCAGAUAGAUAGAUAUAUCUGGAUUUAUGUAUAUAAGAUGAUGCAAGAGAAAUUAAUAGUGUAAUUAAAGAAGAUGAACAUUAUGUACAGUACUGCUUGUUUCUGGAUGUUGUUCUAUUUUCUAUGUAUAAGUAUGUGUUUUAGUGUAAUGUAUUAAUGAAGCUUUUAAAGUUGUUGAAAAUUCAGAAGCUAUGUUUGGAAAAAGCUCAUAUCUCAGCAAUGUUAUCAGCUUCCUCAUUGAGUCAUAGUUAUAGUGAUCAGAUAUGUUUUGGCAUAUUGAAAUUGAAUGAAUGAAAACAAUUUCUUUGUU